GUGAGGAAUUUUCCGCAAUGGGCGAAAGCCUGACGGAGCAAUGCCGCGUGAAGGAUGAAGGCCUAUGGGUUGUAAACUUCUUUUCUCAGAAAAGAAUUAUGACGGUAUCUGAGGAAUAAGCAUCGGCUAACUCUGUGCCAGCAGCCGCGGUAAGACAGAGGAUGCAAGCGUUAUCCGGAAUGAUUGGGCGUAAAGCGUCUGUAGGUUGUUUAAAAAGUAUUCUGUCAAAGAUUAGGGCUUAACCCUAGAUAGGCAGAAUAAACUUUUAAGCUAGAGUGUGGGAGAGGCAGAGGGAAUGCCCGGUGGAGCGGUGAAAUGCGUAGAUAUCGGGAGGAACACCAAAGGCGAAGGCACUCUGCUGGGCCAAUACUAACACUGAGAGACGAAAGCGAGGGGAGCAAAUGGGAUUAGAUACCCGGGUAGUCC
rnacentral:rRNA from 1 species